rnacentral:tRNA from 1 species
GGAUGGGUGGGUGAGUGGCUGAAACCAACGGUUUGCUAAACCGUCAUAGGGAGUAAAUCUCUAUCGAGGGUUCGAAUCCCUCCCCUUCCG